AGCUUCCGGAAAGAAAGUCUGAUCAUUUCCAGUAGCAAUGAAGGUUCUUCAGCUGUUUAUUUGUGUUGUUCUCUCGGUACUAAGGUACAAAACAUCUGGGGAAGAAAUUAUUGGACAUGAAAGCGGCUCAGUCACGAUAACAUGCUCUCAUAAUUGGGCUGGCAGUAACAGGAAGUACUUCUGCAAAGACCCAUGUAAAACAGAUCAGGAUAUUCUAAUAGACUCCAUCAAGAAAUCUUCUGGUAGAUAUCAGUUGACGGAUUCUGGGACGGGAGUCUUCACUGUGGAAAUCGCUCAACUGAAUAAGGAAGAUGCUGGGAAAUACUGGUGUGGAGUGGACAGAGUUCUUAGUGAUACAUAUAAUGAAGUGAUCCUUACAGUCCUUGAAGCUCCGCAGACCUCUCCACCACCGAGCUCAAGCACUCAACUUCCAACAACAGUUACUUCUCUAGGAAACAUUUCAACAUCUAAU